AGUCUGCCUCGAUCAAGGUAUGACUGACGGUGACUGAAUAAGGCGUUAUGCUGCCUAAAGUAAACAGUCCUAGGUGAACGGCCAAGCGGCUCUGACUAGGUACUGUGGUAGAGUGUCCUGCCUAGCAUAGUAUACACUCUUACAGGUAAUAAAGUAAAUCCUGUCCGUCAACUA
rnacentral:ncRNA from 1 species